UACGUAGGGUGCGAGCGUUAAUCGGAUGUACGGGGCGUAAAGCGUGCGCAGGCGGCCCGUUAAGACAGGUGUGAAAUCCCUGGGCUCAACCUAGGAAUUGCGCUUGUGACUGGCGGGCUCGAGUACGGUAGAGGGGGGUGGAAUUCCUGGUGUAGCAGUGAAAUGCGUAGAGAUCAGGAGGAACACCGAUGGCGAAGGCAGCCCCCUGGGCCUGUACUGACGCUCAUGCACGAAAGCGUGGGGAGCAAACAGG
rnacentral:rRNA from 1 species